rnacentral:rRNA from 1 species
GACGAACGCUGGCGGCGCGCUAACACAUGCAAGUCGAACGAGCGAGAGAGAGUUUACUUUUUCGAGCGAGUGGCGAACGGGUGAGUAACGCGUGAGGAACCUGCCUCAAAGAGGGGGACAACAGUUGGAAACGACUGCUAAUACCGCAUAAGCCCACGGCUCGGCAUCGAGCAGAGGGAAAAGGAGCAAUCCGCUUUGAGAUGGCCUCGCGUCCGAUUAGCUAGUUGGUGAGGUAACGGCCCACCAAGGCGACGAUCGGUAGCCGGACUGAGAGGUUGAACGGCCACAUUGGGACUGAGACACGGCCCAGACUCCUACGGGAGGCAGCAGUGGGGAAUAUUGCACAAUGGGGGAAACCCUGAUGCAGCGACGCCGCGUGGAGGAAGAAGGUCUUCGGAUUGUAAACUCCUGUUGUUGAGGAAGAUAAUGACGGUACUCAACAAGGAAGUGACGGCUAACUACGUGCCAGCAGCCGCGGUAAAACGUAGGUCACAAGCGUUGUCCGGAAUUACUGGGUGUAAAGGGAGCGCAGGCGGGAAGACAAGUUGGAAGUGAAAUCCAUGGGCUCAACCCAUGAACUGCUUUCAAAACUGUUUUUCUUGAGUAGUGCAGAGGUAGGCGGAAUUCCCGGUGUAGCGGUGGAAUGCGUAGAUAUCGGGAGGAACACCAGUGGCGAAGGCGGCCUACUGGGCACCAACUGACGCUGAGGCUCGAAAGUGUGGGUAGCAAACAGG